rnacentral:rRNA from 1 species
UUAGAGAUUUUUUUAAACGGCUGCAAUUAGUAGUUGUGCUAAGGUAGCGUAAUCAUUUGCCCCUUAAUUAGGGGAAGGUAUGAAUGGUUUGACGUGGGAAAAGCUGUCUCUUUUAUAUAAAAGGAAGUUUAUUUUUGAGUGAAAAAGCUUAGAUGUUUAUAAAAGACGAGAAGACCCUAUCGAACUUGAAUUAUGUAUUAUAGAUUUUUAAUAUAGAAAGUUUAGUUGGGGAAACUUAAAGUUAAGAAAAACGCUUUUUUGUUGUAAAAUGAUCCUGUAUUAUAGAAAAAUGAAAAAGUUACCGUAGGGAUAACAGCGCUUUCUUCUCUGAGAGGACUAAUCAAAGAGUUGGUUGCGACCUCGAUGUUGGAUUAAGGUUUCUUUUUGGGGUAGGAGUUAAAAUA